AGAACAAAAGAUUUAACAUUUUAAUAAAUUUCUUUAAUUUAUAAUUUCAAUUUAUCAAAAAUGUAAAAAGACAUUUAUAUAUUAAGUUAGACGAUAAGACCCUAUUGAACUUUACUUAAGUUAAACUGGGGUAGUUUAUUAUUUAUUAUUUUAUAUCAAACAUAUCAGCUAAUAUCUAUUAAAUUAAAUAAACAAGUUACCAUAGGGAUAACAGCGCAAUUAUAUUUUAAAGACCAUAUUCUAAAAAUAGAUUACGACCUCGAUGUUGAAUUAAUAACCUAUUAUUUUAAUAUUUUUGAAGCAAAGUUUAAAAAAGGAAGUCUGUUCGACUUUUAAUUAAUUACAUGAUUUGAGUUCAGACCGGUAUAAGCCAGGUCGGAUUCUAUCUACUAUAAAUCAUUUUACAGUACGAAAGGACCUAAAAAGAUAAUUUAAUUAAAUCAUUUUGGCAGAAAAAUGCAUUAGAAUUAGAAUCUAAUAAAACUAAAA
rnacentral:rRNA from 1 species